CAAUUCCUCUUCCAGUAGCGACAGCAUAUGAGCGGCCACAAUUUCGAAUGGCUUCCGUUACUCUCUGCAAUUUUGGCCACCUGUAGUAGCUUCAAUUUCAUCAAGUUCAAAUAGGAUUUCAGACUUGAAGGUGGCUUUAGAUGGGUUAGCUAUCGAUCUUUUCUCCUUCCCUUAAAGCUCCUGCCAUCCCCAUCCUUCACUGCAUCUGAGAUUGCCAGCAAUGGAGCUAUCAUUUCUUCCGAAACCAGAGUUUUCAGCUUACAAUCAUAUACCCCUAUUUCUUGGUUCUUCUCUACCAUCAUGGCUGUCAAUAAUUGUCCCAAUUUCUUCUUGUUCAAGUAGUGUAGCUGCAAGACCUUUUUUCGCCUCUGCUCAUCCCAUUUUUCUAUCAUCAAGUUGUGCCUCUCCAUCAUUAUUCCCAUACUUCUCUAGAACUCAAAUUUCAUGGCUCCUAUUCCCUCUCUUAUUUCUGAAUUCAUUUUCUCAAGCUUUACUUUCAAAUUACUAACCCGAUCUUCGAAUUCAUUUUCUUCAUCAGAAGUAAUGUCUUAGAUGUCAUGUCUAAGAUAGUGCUCUGAUACCAUUUGAUAGGAUACCAAUUGAAAGAACAAGUUCAAAUGUUGAAUAAAUGACUUUUUGAUCGAAAUAAAGGACGAUUACAGAAAUUGAAAAAUAAUUCUAAGCAUUUGAGAGGCUUAGAUCUCUCCUCCUAACUUAACAACUAAUUCUCUGCAUGAAUAUCCCCAAUCCCUCCCACAUUACAUUUAUAGUCAACUAAUCACACCAUUAUUCCCCAAAAUACCUUUGCCCCUAACUGAAUCUACUCUAACUGAAUAAGCUUCUCGAUUCUUCUAGGUGCUUCCUUGUUGAUAGGAGUCUAUCAUAACCACCUUGAUAGAAAACAAAUUAUUGUCCAUGUAGAGAAGUUAAAUCUUAUAUAGCUAAAGGGUAUGUGCUUGGCUAGGAAUUAAGCAUAUAAAAAUUUAACAAGAAUAUUCCGCAUAUAGGGUUUCUUUUUCAUUUAGUUUUGUUAUUUAUAUCUUUCUUUUUUCUUUUUCCAUCGUGUUUCCUGAUUAGGGUAGCAAGAAAUUGAGGGGUCUUGGGUGCUUAUUGCAGUUUUGAUGUUAUCUUGUGAUUAUAUUGGAAAGGUGUAAAUCUGGGACGAUGGACAAUUUUAGUUGUUAUCGAACAUUCACUAUUGUUUGCUUGGUUAUGGCUUUUCAAUCCUUUAGUCGGUAGACAAUACACUACAAACCUGGGGGUGGCUCCUCCUCCUACCAUCAGACUUCAAGAGGCUUGGACCCCAACCUUCUACAUGUAGUAAGCAUGGUUCCGUCACUUUUCUAUGUAGCCAACUCCAUCAUACUGCAUUCAACAUAUUGAAAUGCUAUAAAGUUAUUUUUCAGUUGCCUUAUUGAAAAAUUAUAGGUAUCUCAUCCCAGCUGACUUGACUGUGGGACAAUUCGUUGAUGUAAUUCGUAAAAGGAUCAAAUUGACUGUAGAAAAAGCUAUUUUCAUAUUCAUUGACAGUGUCCUCCAACAUGUCAGUGCUUAAUAUUAAUCGUAUGUCUAGGGAUGUCUAAUAUAAAUUAAUUGCAUAUACCACUGUAGGCUUAUCAAGGUGUAUGGUAUAGGGACUGUACUAAACAAUGAAAUGGAUAAUAUUCAAAGCAUUUGUUGGAAGUGUUUUUUAAAUUGUUCAAAUUAUAAAUAUAUAGAAAUGAGUGAUGGAUAAGCGGGUAGUAUUCAUGGAUACCACAUGUGAAUAAAAAUUGGUUUGAAAGAGUGUAUAAACAUUAACCAAACACUGGCUUAAGCUUUCUUUAUUACGCAAUACAAUGGACUUCUUCAUACCAUAAAUUUUUCUUGUACAUUACCCCACAUGGAGACGUUAGCAUUGAUAUCACUUGAAGCUACUGGAAUUGGUUGUAUUCAUUAUCCUUACUUCUGCUCUUCGCAGAUGCUAUUAUGUCUUCAAUAUACGGUGAGAAGAAGGACAAAGAUGGUUUCUUAUACGUAACCUAUGGUGGGGAGAACACGUUCAGGAACCUUAUCCCACCAUAGCCUCGUAAAUUGAGCUCCGAAUUGUUUCACAACAGUUGCUGCCAUUACAUUAUGCUAAUAAUCUUCUCUUAUCAUUUAAAGAUAUU
rnacentral:lncRNA from 1 species